rnacentral:rRNA from 1 species
CCAGACUCCUACGGGAGGCAGCAGUGGGGAAUAUUGCACAAUGGGGGAAACCCUGAUGCAGCGACGCCGCGUGAGUGAAGAAGUAAUUCGUUAUGUAAAGCCCUAUCGGCAGGGAAGAAGGAGGACGGUACCCGACUAAGAAGCCCCGGCUAACUACGUGCCAGCAGCCGCGGUAAUACGUAGGGGGCAAGCGUUAUCCGGAUUUACUGGGUGUAAAGGGGGCGCAGACGGCAGCGCAAGCCAGGAGUGAAAGCCCGGGGCCCAACCCCGGGACUGCAUUUGGAACUGUAAGGCUAGAGUGUCGGAGAGGCAGGCGGAAUUCCUAGUGUAGCGGUGAAAUGCGUAGAUAUUAGGAGGAACACCAGUGGCGAAGGCGGCCUGCUGGACGAUGACUGACGUUGAGGCUCGAAAGCGUGGGGAGCAAACAGGAUUAGAUACCCCAGUAUU